rnacentral:rRNA from 1 species
UACGUAGGGUGCAAGCGUUGUCCGGAAUUAUUGGGCGUAAAGAGCUCGUAGGCGGUUUGUCGCGUCUGCUGUGAAAACCUAAGGCUCAACCUUGGGCUUGCAGUGGGUACGGGCAGACUAGAGUGCGGUAGGGGUGACUGGAAUUCCUGGUGUAGCGGUGAAAUGCGCAGAUAUCAGGAGGAACACCGGUGGCGAAGGCGGGUCUCUGGGCCGUAACUGACGCUGGAGGAGCGAAAGCGUGGGGAGCGAA